rnacentral:lncRNA from 1 species
AUGGCGAGUGAAAAAGUUGAGAAGCCAGAUACUAGGGAGAAGAAACCUGAAUCCAAGAAGGCUGAUGCUAGUGGCAACGUGACAAAGGGUAACCUCAAAGCUAAAAAGCCCAAGAAAGGGAAGCCCCACUGCAGCUGAAAUCCUGUCCUCAUCAGAGGAAUUGGCAGAUAUUCCCGACCUGCUAUGUGUUCCAGAAAGGCACGUACAAAAGGAAGUAUUCAGCGGCUAAAUCCAAGAUUGAAAAGGAGAAGUUUCUUGCAACUGUUACAAAACCAGUUGGUGGUGACAAGAAUGGUGGUGCCCCAGUGGUUAAACUUCACAAGAUGCCUAGCUAUCAUCUACCGGAGAUGUGUCUAAAAAGUUGUUGAGCAAAAAAAACCUGUAGUCAGCAUGCCAGAAAACUGCAAGCCAGCAUCUCUCCCAGGACCAUUCUGCUCAUCCUCACUGGGCGCCACAGAGGCAAGAUGGUUUUCCUGGAGCAGCUAGCUGGGCAAUGGCUUUUACUUGUGACCGGACCUCUGGUCGUCAAUUGAGUUUCUCUGCGAAGAACACACCAGUAAUUUGUCACUGCCACCUCUACAACAAUUGAUAUCAGUCAGCAAUGUGAAAAUCUCAAAACAUCUUACUGAUGCUUACUUCAAGAAGAAACUGCAGAAACCCAGACACCACGAAAGUGAGAUCUCUGGUGCAGAAAAAGAGAAAUAUGAAGUGAUAGAGUAGCGCCUGGUUGAUCAGAAAGCUGUGGACUGGCAAAUUUUACCAAAAUCAAAGCUAUUCCUCAGCUCCAAGGCUAACUGUGAUCUCUGUUUGCCCUGACGAGUGGAAUUUAUCCUCACACAUUGAUGUUCUAA